rnacentral:rRNA from 1 species
GACAUUACCGAGUUUACAACUCCCAAACCCAAUGUGAACGUUACCAAACUGUUGCCUCGGCGGGAUCUCUGCCCCGGGUGCGUCGCAGCCCCGGACCAAGGCGCCCGCCGGAGGACCAACCAAAACUCUUAUUGUAUACCCCCUCGCGGGUUUUUUUAUAAUCUGAGCCUUCUCGGCGCCUCUCGUAGGCGUUUCGAAAAUGAAUCAAAACUUUCAACAACGGAUCUCUUGGUUCUGGCAUCGAUGAAGAACGCAGCGAAAUGCGAUAAGUAAUGUGAAUUGCAGAAUUCAGUGAAUCAUCGAAUCUUUGAACGCACAUUGCGCCCGCCAGUAUUCUGGCGGGCAUGCCUGUCCGAGCGUCAUUUCAACCCUCGAACCCCUCCGGGGGGUCGGCGUUGGGGAUCGGCCCUGCCUUGGCGGUGGCCGUCUCCGAAAUACAGUGGCGGUCUCGCCGCAGCCUCUCCUGCGCAGUAGUUUGCACACUCGCAUCGGGAGCGCGGCGCGUCCACAGCCGUUAAACACCCAACUUCUGAAAUGUUGACCUCGGAUCAGGUAGGAAUACCCGCUGAACUUAAGCAUAUCAAUAAGCGGAGGGAAAG